rnacentral:rRNA from 1 species
GACGAACGCUGGCGGCGUGCUUAACACAUGCAAGUCGAACGGUGAAGCGCCUUCCUUUUUGGUGGGUGGGGAUGAGUGGCGAACGGGUGCGUAACACGUUAGUAACCUGCGCCCUUCUUCUGGAUAACCGCAUGAAAGUGUGGCUAAUACGGGAGAUUCUGGGUCUGUCGCAUGAUGGGUCUGGGCAAGAUUUUGUUUCGGUGGGGGAUGGGCUCGCGGCGUAUCAGCUUGGUGGUGAGGUGAUGGCCUACCAAGGCGGUGACGGGUAGCCGGCCUGGGAGGGUGGACGGCACCACUGGGACGGAGAGACGGAGACGACUCCGAGGGGAAGCAGUGGGGAGGAAUGGUGAACAGGGGGAACAAGGCUGAAGCAGCGCCGCGGCGGGGGGGAAGGAGGCCGGCGGGUUGUGAGCUUCUUUCGGGAAUGAAGCAGGCUUGCCUAGUAUGUGGGUGGGUUGACGGUAGCUGGAUAAGAAGCGCCGGCUAACUACGUG